GAGCCAGGAAGAGGAGUUGAGGAAGGCAGGAAGAAGGAGCCUGGCUGAGAACAAGGACUAUGUUCAGGUGUGAGCACUGCAGCUGCAGCACAGCUGUGGACUCCACCCUGAUGAUUGUUUGAGGGAGUGAAUUUUCUCUGUUUAGUUUGAUAUUUAAACAUGUUUGAGUGAUUUGUUGCCUCUGAUUGGCAGCUGAAAACUAUGUGAAAAAUGAUUGCAUAUUUGAUAGUGGAUCCUUCUUUAGCCAGGUUUGUCACACAGUUUCUUCUUAUUCAGCAUUUAAACAGACACAUCUGUGUCUACAGUUUGAAACAACUCACAUCGAAAAAAGUUUAAAUGUGGAGCAGUGCUUUCAAAUGAAAAGCCUGAUAUUUUUACAUGUUUUGCAUUAUUCUUAUGUGUUUGAUCUGGGGUCCACUGGUACUAGAAAUUGUCAUUAUAUAAAACAUAUGAUUGAAAUGAAUGUAUCCUCACCUAAACCUCAGACGUCUGUCAUAAACAUGUUAUAAAUACCAAUAUCAAUACCAACUUGUAUUGGUACCAAGGAGGCUCAGGCAUGUCUGUACGUGUCCUGUGGUUAGGUUUAGGCAUUCAUUUUUAAAUGUCAAAGUUAGGGCAAGUGGCUAGUGGGAAUGCAUUAUGUCAAUGAGAUGUCCCCACGAAGAUAGCAAGACCCGACGUGUGUGUGUGUGUGUGUGCAUGUCUGUGUGCAUGUGUUUUUUCUCUUGCUUCAUGAGAAGCUUGCAGAGUUUUGCAAGAGUGGCAUGCAGUUUCCAUGGUGACAUUAAUGUUUACUUGAAUGCUUACGUCCGUUUUGUCUUUUGACCGAAAGACACAAGAGGGGGAUUCCUGUAGCAGAGGCUGUGUGUGUGUGUGUGUAUGUAUGUAUGAGUGUGUGUGUGUGUGUGUGUGUGUGUGUGGUGUGUUCUCCUCAAGCCCUCAGCUGUUAAGAUGCCCAGUUCACAAGAAAUGUAACACCCUUUGUAAGUCUUUACAGUCCUUUCUAAUUACAUCUUUGAGUACAAACACAUUUGUUGUUUUAUCUGCACAUUUAUUAAUUAUGACUCACUAAAGCAGAGAUCUCUCUCUGGCCCCAUAUUCAAAAAACCUGCUAAGCACUUUUGCAUGGAGGAUGGAAACAAUAACAAUAACUCUCAGAUUUUUUUUGUGAUGUACUAAAUCUUCUUUAACGUUGUUUUAAAAAGGAAAUAAGUGAAAUGAUUCAAAAUCAAAUUUGGGAUCAUAUUUUUUUUUAUCUUUGCAAUGAAAAUUUCUUUACUCCUUCUGUCUUUGCAGUUUACUUUCAUUUUACUGAUUCUGCUGAGUCACUGGCCAUUUCAGCAGAAACCUGUCAUAAAGUCUCUGGUUCCUUUUUGCUGUGUGCGUCUUUUUCCUGCCCGUCACUUGUUAUUUAUCCUUGUAAAGAAUAAGAAGUGACACUGGAGCGACACAGAGCCCUUAUCCUCACAGUGCAGCGGUGGAUUCAGCCUGUUUAAGCAGGAGGAGCAGUGAGUCCUGAGGCUGUGCUACCAACCAGGAUUUCAUCUGAUCCAGGUAACUUCAGGGUCUCUGUACUGCUGGGGUAAAUCACCACGGACAACCUGAGAUGGAUACUUGCAAAUCUGUGAUAUUCUGCUGGAUUCUGCUCGUCUGCUUUUCACCGGCUGAAUAUGCAGGUGAGACCAGCAGGUAUCACUGUGUCUACUGCUGGGAACUGAAUUUCUUUCAUUGUCACUUUAUAUAUAUACAAUUUAGAUUAUUAAAUUCUAAAUAAUUAAAAAGCUCAUUUACACCAUGUUCCCCCCUUAUAGCACUUUUUGGUCUGCUGAUAGAAGGAGGGACAGAGGGAAGUACUGAAUAGUUGUUGCUGAGCAGGAAUAUUUCAUGGGAUGCUGACAUAGCAACUUUUCCCGUCUUUAUCUUACACACAUAUUAUGUGAGAAUUGUAAAGAAUGACCAAAAGGUAACAAAAAUAGUACCAAUAAUUUUGAUAAUGAUGAUAAUAAAGACAGGUUUGUGCGUAUGUGCUGUUGGGCCAAUGAGACUCACU